ACGCUCCUUCAGACCUCAGUG
rnacentral:misc_RNA from 1 species